AACCAAAAAGAUGUCCCUAUAUGAUGACCUGGGAGUGGAGACCAGUGACUCAAAAACUGAAGGCUGGUCCAAAAACUUCAAGCUUCUUCAGUUCCAGCUCCAGGUGAGGAAGGCAGCACUCACUCAGGCCAAGAGCCAAAGGACAAAGCAAAGUACAGUGCUUGCUCCGGUCAUCGACCUGAAGCGAGGAGGCUCCUCAGAUGACGGACAGAUCGUUGACACGCCACCUCAUGUAGCAGCUGGGCUAAAGGACCCUGUGCCCAGUGCAUUUUCUACAGGGGACAUUCUGAUCCCCUUAAGCUGAUGAAUAUAACCCUAUGUUUCCUAACGAUUAUAAGAAGUGAUGAAGCGCCAGAGAGUAGAGCGGAAGAGGCAGCGGGAGUUGGAAAGACAGAAGGAAAUAGAGGAAAGAGAAAAGAGGCAUAAAGACAGACAUGAAGCCAGUGGGUUUUCAAGACGACCAGACCCAGAUUCUUAUGAGGAUGAAGAUUAUGAGCGAGAACGGGGGAAAAGAAGUAUGGGAGGAGCUGCCAUCGCCCCACCGACUUGUUACCCCGAGAUUUUCCUUAUGAAGAGGACUCGAGACCUCGAUCACAGUCUUCCAAAGCUGCUAUUCCUCCCCCAGUGUAUGAGGAGCCGGACAAACCAAGAUCUCCAACGGGUCCCAGCAACUCCUUCCUUGCUAACAUGGGUGGCACAGUGGCUCAUAAGAUCAUGCAGAAGUAUGGUUUCCGGGAAGGUCGGGGACUGGGGGAGCAUGAGCAAGGGCUGAGCAUUGUACUGUCCAUGGAGAAGACCAGCAAGCGUGGCGGCACGAUCAUUGUGGGUGACGCCACAGAGAAGGGUGAGUCUCAGGAUGCAUCCAAGAAGUCGGAUUCAAAUCCAUUAACUGAAAUUCUUAGCUGCCCUACUGAAGUGGUCUUGCUGAGGAACAUGGUCGGUGCAUGAGAGGUCGAUGAAGACUUGGAAGUUGAAACCAAGGAAGAAUGUGAAAAAUAUGGCAAAGUUGAGAAAUGGGUGAUAUUUGAGAUUCCUGGUGCUCCUGAUGAUGAAGCAGUAUGGAUAUUUUUAGAAUUUGAGAGACUGUAAUCAGCAAUUAAAGCUGUUGUUGAUCUGAACGGGAGGUAUUUUGGUAGACAGGUGGUUAAAGCAUGUUUCUACAAUCUGAUAAAUUCAGGGUCUUGGAUCUAACAGAACAAGUUUUAUUGUAA